rnacentral:lncRNA from 1 species
AGGGUUAGUGAAACAAGAUAAGGAUUAGGAGAAAACAUGCUAUGACAAACGUAAGUCAGAUUAGAGCAAAACAAUAUGGUUUUUCAUGGAUAACAGUAUGGUUUCAGAAACCUCAAACCCUGUGGCAUACACUUCAGAAAUUAAACGAUUAAGCAUUCAAGGCAUUAUUUAUACAUUCAUACAUAAUUAUGAACUCGUGGGCAAAAACC